rnacentral:lncRNA from 1 species
GAUGAAAUUGUUUGUAACAAAAUUGAUGAAUUUGAAAAAUUAGUGCAAUUUGAAAAAAAUGGUUACACGGAAAAUAAUAACAGUAAAAUAAAUGAAAAGUACAAUUUAUAUAAAGAGUUUUUAGUAUAUAAAUUUAAUAACUUAUUUUACAACACCGUUAAAUUAAUAAAUUAUAAUUUUGUUUUUAAUCAGUUUACAAAACGUUUGCAUAGUAACGUAGAGACUAAUAAAGUAAAGACUAGUAAAAUAGAGGCUAAUAAAGUAAAGACUAGUAAAGUAGAAGCUAAUAAAGUAAAGACUAGUAAAGUAGAAGCUAAUAAAGUAGAGGCUAAUAAAGUAAAGACUAGUAAAGUAGAGGCUAAUAAAGUAAAGACUACUAAAGUAGAGACUAAUAAAGUAAAGACUAAUAAUUUUCAUAAUAAGUUAAUAAGUUAUAAAAAUAAAAUUUUUCAAUUAAAUUUUUUAGAAAAAUCUGUUAUUAUUAAAUUUUUUAUAAAUAUAUAUGCCUGUAUUGAUAAAAAAUAUAUUUUUAAACUGUGUUUGGAUUUGUGUAAUCCAUAUAUAUGGAAUUGUAUACAUUAUGAUUACUUACGUACAUUUCUUUUAAAAAAAAAUGAAGAAGCAAAAAUGCUUUAUCAUAAUAUUACAAGUAUUAUGAAAAAAAAAUAUUUAAAUGAUAAAAUUUAUGACUCCAUAAAUGUGUAUACUUGCAAUUGUAAUAAUAAUAUAACAGACCGCAAUUUUUUACAAAAUAAUAGUUUACAUAAUCAGAACAUACAUAAAAAUAAAAUUCAGAAUGAAGAAAAUUCAGAAGAAUAUGAUGAAAAUAUUAUUAUGUUUAUAAAUAAGAAUAAUUUUUUUUAUAAUUUAAUAAAUUACUUUUUAAUAGUUUUAAAUAUGGUUGAGCAAGAAUAUGAAGAAGAAGAAAAUGAUGAUGAAGUAUUAAGCUGUUCUUCUUCUUCAUCUUCAUGUUCGACAAGUGAUAAUGAAACCAACGACAAAUUGAAAUUAGAUCAAUUUGAAAAAUAUAUCAACACAUAUAGUAAUAGAAAAAAUAAUAGUUUAUUGGAAGUAUUAGAUAUGAAUAAUGGGGAGGUAAGCAAAGAAUAUCUUUUAGCGACUAAUGAAAAUGAUAAAGGUGUGGUUAAGUUGUAUGACAACGAUGGUAACGACAACGAUGGUAACGACAACGAUGGUAAUGACAACGAUGGUAAUGACCACAAUGGUAAUAAUGACACUUAUCCUUUAAAUCACAAAAGCAAUGGAGUUAUCACUACUGACGAAACUGAUCUAGAUUUAAUAACUUAUUUAAAAAAUGUUUCUAACAUUGAUAAAAAGGAUAAGUAUGUAAAACAUGACACAUUUAGUAGUAUUAAUUAUUCUAAAGAGAUAGAAGAAAAUGAUUUGAUCGAAAGUUAUUUAAAAUAUGCAUCAAGUGAUGAUGAAACAAAUAAACUAUAUGUAGAUAAUAACAGUAGUGCACAUAAUAAUAUCAAUAAUAGUAAAAAAAACGAAAUUUUAGAAAUGUUUUUAAAAUAUGAAAGUAAAAUUAAACCUUAUCGUAAAAUACUUUCCAAACAAAAAAAGAAUAAAAAAAAAUCUAUAUAUAAUGGUGAAAAUAUAAAAUUUAUUAUACUAUUUAUUGAAAGUUGUAUUGAAUUUUUUACUGAUUGUUUGAGUCAACUUUAUACAAGAAGAAU